CCGAGAGGAAAUUGAAUUGUACAAAGGGUUUUUAUUAAUUCCAUCUAUUUUUAAAGCCAGAAGGACAUAGUACCAGCUUGCUGUCUCUCGGCGCGCGCGCACACACACACACACACACACACACACACACACACACACGCGUGCGCGCGCUACAUCAGCAUGGGAUUCUGGCUAUCCCUCCCCGCCCCCAGCAGCCCCCGCCCUCAGCAGCCCCCUCCCCCGGCGCAGGCAGCCUCGUCAGUCCCUCACGGGGUGGCUCCGCGCACUCCCUCACGACCGCAGCACCUACCCUGCUGGGACCUCAAGACAGACGCGGGACUGGCUGCUGCUCCGAAGGAAAAGCCUCCCAGGACCAGCACUUCACAGGACUCCAGCCGCACUAGAGGGGAGGCCGGCAGGAGCCCCGCCCUCCCAACGCCUGGGUUAUCUGAGAGCCUGAGCUACACCGCCGGGCUUCACCGACAGAAUGCGCCCUGCCUGGUUCCUCCGCAUCUGGCAUUGCUCGUUCCUUUCAAGUGCAUCAUAGAUACGUGUUGGUCACAGAUCUGGGGCUGUGGACGCGAGAAGAAAUCAUCACCAGAUAUCCUGAAGACACAUAAUGGGGGUGUUCUCACUAGGGAGCUCCGAUGAGAGAAGGAUAUAGAAGAAGAGCACAUGUUCAGUUUUAGAAACACCAAAAAUAAAAAGCUGAGUGGACUCUGAUAUGUUUUUCCU
rnacentral:lncRNA from 1 species